rnacentral:rRNA from 1 species
CGACAUGUACGGAAUCCUUUAGAGAUAGAGGAGUGCUCGAAAGAGAGCCGUAACACAGGUGCUGCAUGGCUGUCGUCAGCUCGUGUCGUGAGAUGUUGGGUUAAGUCCCGCAACGAGCGCAACCCUUGCCAUUAGUUGCUACGAAAGGGCACUCUAAUGGGACUGCCGGUGACAAACCGGAGGAAGGUGGGGAUGACGUCAAGUCCUCAUGGCCCUUAUAGGUGGGGCUACACACGUCAUACAAUGGCUGGUACAGAGGGUUGCCAACCCGCGAGGGGGAGCUAAUCCCAUAAAGCCAGUCGUAGUCCGGAUCGCAGUCUGCAACUCGACUGCGUGAAGUCGGAAUCGCUAGUAAUCGCGGAUCAGAAUGUAGCGGUGAAUACGUUCCCGGGUCUUGUACACACCGCCCGUCACACCAUGGGAGCGGGUUCUGCCAGAAGUAGGUAGCCUAACCGUAAGGAGGGCGCUUACCACGGCAGGGUUCGUGACUGGGGUGAAGUCGUAAC